CCUACGGGAGGCUGCAGUGGGGAAUAUUGGACAAUGGGCGAAAGCCUGAUCCAGCCAUGCCGCGUGUGUGAAGAAGGCCUUCGGGUUGUAAAGCACUUUCAGUGGGGAAGAAAGCCUUGGGGCUAAUACCCUCGAGGAAGGACAUCACCUACAGAAGAAGCACCGGCUAACUCCGUGCCAGCAGCCGCGGUAAUACGGAGGGUGCGAGCGUUAAUCGGAAUUACUGGGCGUAAAGCGCGCGUAGGCGGUCUGAUAAGCCGGUUGUGAAAGCCCCGGGCUCAACCUGGGAACGGCAUCCGGAACUGUCAGGCUAGAGUGCAGGAGAGGAAGGUAGAAUUCCCGGUGUAGCGGUGAAAUGCGUAGAGAUCGGGAGGAAUACCAGUGGCGAAGGCGGCCUUCUGGACUGACACUGACGCUGAGGUGCGAAAGCGUGGGUAGCAAACAGGAUUAGAUACCCUGGUAGUC
rnacentral:rRNA from 1 species